UACGGGGGGGGCGAGCGUUGUUCGGAAUUACUGGGCGUAAAGGGUUUGUAGGUGGCUGGCUAAGUCAGACGUGAAAUCCCUCAGCUUAACUGGGGAACUGCGUCUGAGACUGGCGAGCUCGAGUGCAGGAGAGGAACGCGGAAUUCCAGGUGUAGCGGUGAAAUGCGUAGAUAUCUGGAGGAACACCGGUGGCGAAGGCGGCGUUCUGGACUGCAACUGACACUGAAAAACGAAAGCCAGGGGAGCAAACGGG
rnacentral:rRNA from 1 species